rnacentral:rRNA from 1 species
GAUGAACGCUAGCGGGAGGCCUAACACAUGCAAGCCGAGCGGUAUUGUUUCUUCGGAAAUGAGAGAGCGGCGUACGGGUGCGGAACACGUGUGCAACCUGCCUUUAUCUGGGGGAUAGCCUUUCGAAAGGAAGAUUAAUACUCCAUAAUAUAUUGAACGGCAUCGUUUAAUAUUGAAAGCUCCGGCGGAUAGAGAUGGGCACGCGCAAGAUUAGCUAGUUGGUGAGGUAAUGGCUCACCAAGGCGAUGAUCUUUAGGGGGCCUGAGAGGGUGAUCCCCCACACUGGUACUGAGACACGGACCAGACUCCUACGGGAGGCAGCAGUGAGGAAUAUUGGUCAAUGGGUGCAAGCCUGAACCAGCCAUCCCGCGUGAAGGACGACUGCCCUAUGGGUUGUAAACUUCUUUUGUAUAGGGAUAAACCUACCCUCGUGAGGGUAGCUGAAGGUACUAUACGAAUAAGCACCGGCUAACUCCGUGCCAGCCGCCGCAGUAAUAC